rnacentral:lncRNA from 1 species
GGGAUGCUUGUGAUUAUUGAUGGAUGUACAACAACAAACCUUUUGCUGAUUCUAUAAUCUGCAGCCUCGAGAUUGCCAGUUUGCGGAUGCUGAAUUACAGCUCGCUUUAACUAACGAAAAAGAAUAAGUAUAGCCUGUUCAGUUCAUCUGUCUGUAGUUAUGGCUAGAGUGGAGGUAGGGUAAUGUAAGGUAUGGUAUAGUAAAGUACGGAACAGUAACAAUAUGGUAUGGAAAGGUACAAUAUGGUAUGGAAAGGUACAGUAUGGUAUGGUAAAGUGCAGUAUGGUAUGGAAAGGUACAGUAUAGUAUGGAAGGUAAAGCAUGGUAUGGAAAGGUACAGUGUGGUAUGGAAAGGUACAGUAUGGUAUGGAAAGGUACAGUAAUUAUAUGGUAUGGAAAGGUACAGUAUGGUAUGGAAAGGUACAGUAUGGUAUGGAAAGGUACAGUGUGGUAUGGUAAAGUGCAGUAUGGUAUGGAAAGGUACAGUAUAGUAUGGAAGGUACAGCAUGGUAUGGAAAGGUACAGUGUGGUAUGGAAAGGUACAGU